rnacentral:rRNA from 1 species
CCUACGGGCGGCAGCAGUGAGGAAUAUUGGUCAAUGGGCGCAAGCCUGAACCAGCCAAGUCGCGUGAGGGAAGACGGUCCUAUGGAUGGUAAACCUCUUUUGCCGGGGAGCAAAAAGCGGUACACGUACCGAAUCGAGAGUACCCGGCGAAAAACCAUCAGCUGACUCCGUGCCAGCAGCCGCGGUAAUACGCAGGAUGCGAGCGUUAUCCGGAUUUACUGGGGGUAAAGGGAGCGUAGGCGGGACGGCAAGUCAGAUGUGAAAACUGAGGGCUCAACCUUCAGACUGCAUUUGAAACUGGUGUUCUUGAGUGAAGGAGAGGUAAGCGGAAUUCCUAGUGUAGCGGUGAAAUGCGUAGAUAUUAGGAGGAACAUCGGUGGCGAAGGCGGCUUACUGGGCUUUUACUGACGGUGAGGCUCGAAAGCGUGGGGAGCAAACAGGAUUAGAUACCCCGGUAGUC